rnacentral:lncRNA from 1 species
AUAGCCUACAUCUUUUGAAUAGGCCUACCUAUCAAAUUUCUCGCGAUUGCAUAUUUGUCCUCUCACCCACACAUGAGGCGCGGAAUCCUCAAACCGGUCAUGCGACGUGUGAGAAACACCCGCCUCAGCUGUAUAGACAAUGAGCGUCCAGAACAGAGAAAAGUGUGUACUGUAGACAGCGGUGCGAACACCUGACGACACAGAGAGAGAGAGAGAGAGAGAAAUCUCCUGCGCGUUAUAAACUCUACAUACUUGAUUUUCGUUGUUUUUGUUAUUCAUUUUUUUUGUCAGUUCGUGGCAUAUCACAUGGAAAUGUUUUUUUCUAAGAAUAAGCUGGCAAAAUGUCUUCAUUACAUCAAACGCAUCGGACCCAAUAACGAUACAUUAAAUCCAAUCCAGGCUUAACAAGCACCUCCCCUCUGAUGGCCUCCUUCUUACAACAACUAAGACUGCUUCUUUGGAAAAAUGGCCUGAGUGUCACCCGGCAGCCUGCCUGGUCGCUGGCUCUUCUUGUCUGGCCACUUGUGAUCUUUAUUAUCUUGGCAACUCCU